rnacentral:rRNA from 1 species
GACGAACGCUGGCGGCGUGCCUAAUACAUGCAAGUCGAGCGGCCGCACCGUAAGCUUUCUCUCUUUUCGUUAGCGGCUGACGGGUGAGUAACACGUGGGCCACCUGCUCUGUAUUCGUGGAUGAUAACGAGAAAUCGGUUCUACUACUGGAUCACACGACAUGUCGCAUGACGCUUCGUUUCUUCACGGCGCACGCUGUUGCUUCAGCCUAUGCCCGCGUCGCAUUAGCUAGUUGGUGAGGUAACGGCUCACCAAGGCGACGAUGCGUAGCCGACCUGAGAGGGUGAUCGGCCACACUGGGACUGAGACACGGCCCAGACUCCUACGGGAGGCAGCAGUAGGGAAUCUUCCGCAAUGGACGAAAGUCUGACGGAGCAACGCCGCGUGAGCGAAGAAGGCCUUCGGGUCGUAAAGCUCUGUUGUUAGGGAAGAACAAGUAACGCAGUAACUGGCGUUACCGUGACGGUACCUAACGAGAAAGCCACGGCUAACUACGUG